GACGAACGCUGGCGGCGUGCUUAACACAUGCAAGUCGAGCGGUAAGGCUCCUUCGGGAGUACACGAGCGGCGAACGGGUGAGUAACACGUGAGCAAUCUGCCCUUCUCUUCGGAAUAAGCGUUGGAAACGACGUCUAAUGCCGAAUACGACCUCCUUUCGCAUGAUCGGAGGUGGAAAGCUCCGGCGGAGAAGGAUGAGCUCGCGGCCUAUCAGCUAGUUGGGUGGGUAAUGGCCCACCAAGGCGACGACGGGUAGCCGGCCUGAGAGGGUGACCGGCCACACUGGGACUGAGACACGGCCCAGACUCCUACGGGAGGCAGCAGUGGGGAAUAUUGGACAAUGGGCGAAAGCCUGAUCCAGCAACGCCGCGUGAGGGAUGACGGCCUCGGUUGUAA
rnacentral:rRNA from 1 species